GAAGGAUUGUGGACAGUAAUUGCUGUAAUUAAAUUAAGUUAAUUAUGUUGCAGCAAGUGACAGUAAUGGUGAUUAUGGUCGACCUUAGCUGCGAGAAAUGUCACAAGAAAAGGUGUUGAAGAUGGAUGAAGCUUUAUUGAUUCAUAUCAAAUAGAAAUAAAAAUAAGAAAUAUAUUCCUUCUCGUUACUCGAUUUCUAUAAUUUAUGGCGCCAUGCUAAUCCAUAAUUAAAUCUCUCUAAUUCUCGCCCCGUAGACAGUUGCAUCUGCUGUGUAUGCCGCUUGUUGAACCCUUGAUAAGAGCCCUUUGUGCAUCUGCUAGUCUGAUGCUACUCGUUGUACUGGCGGUUAUCGCGCUUUGGUUUGUUUUAUCGAUAUUCAAUUCAUUGGUGCAUUUGGGUUUCUAUGUGAUGUAUUUAGUGU
rnacentral:misc_RNA from 1 species